GAAUUCUGUUAUCCCUGUUAGGUCUGUUAUCCCUGUUAGGUCUGUUAUCCCUGUUAGGUCUGUUAUCCUGUUAGGUCUGUUAUCCCUGUUGGGUCUGUUAUCCCUGUUGGGUCUGUUAUCCCUGUUAGGUCUGUUAUCCCUGUUAGGUCUG